rnacentral:rRNA from 1 species
AUUGAACGCUGGCGGAAUGCUUUACACAUGCAAGUCGAACGGCAGCACGGACUUCGGUCUGGUGGCGAGUGGCGAACGGGUGAGUAAUGUAUCGGAACGUGCCCAGUCGUGGGGGAUAACGUAGUGAAAAUUACGCUAAUACCGCAUACGAUCUAUGGAUGAAAGCGGGGGAUCGCAAGACCUCGCGCGAUUGGAGCGGCCGAUAUCAGAUUAGGUAGUUGGUGGGGUAAAGGCCCACCAAGCAAAAGAUCUGUAGCUGGACUGAGAGGACGCCCAGACACACGGGGACUGAGAAACGGUCCAGACUCCAACGGGAGUCAGCAGUGGGGAAUUUUGGACAGUGGGCGAAAGCCUGAUCCAGCCAUUCCGCGUGCAGGAUGAAGGCCCUCGGGUUGUAAACUGCUUUUGUACAGAACGAAAAGGUUUCUACUAAUACUAGGAGCUCAUGACGGUACUGUAAGAAUAAGCACCGGCUAACUACGUGCCAGCAGCCGCCGUAA